GAUGAACGCUGGCGGCGUGCCUAAUACAUGCAAGUCGAGCGAACAGACGAGGAGCUUGCUCCUCUGACGUUAGCGGCGGACGGGUGAGUAACACGUGGAUAACCUACCUAUAAGACUGGAAUAACUUCGGGAAACCGUAGCUAAUACCGGAUAAUAUAUUGAACCGCAUGGUUCAAAAGUGAAAGACGGUUUUGCUGUCACUUAUAGAUGGAUCCGCGCUGCAUUAGCUAGUUGGUAAGGUAACGGCUUACCAAGGCAACGAUGCGUAGCCGACCUGAGAGGGUGAUCGGCCACACUGGAACUGAGACACGGUCCAGACUCCUACGGGAGGCAGCAGUAGGGAAUCUUCCGCAAUGGGCGAAAGCCUGACGGAGCAACGCCGCGUGAGUGAUGAAGGUCUUCGGAUCGUAAAACUCUGUUAUUAGGGAAGAACAAAUGUGUAAGUAACUAUGCACGUCUUGACGGUACCUAAUCAGAAAGCCACGGCUAACUACGUG
rnacentral:rRNA from 1 species